rnacentral:rRNA from 1 species
CCCUUAGAUGUCCUGGGCUGCACGCGCGCUACACUGGAAGUUACUGAUUGAGAUACUACCUUGUCCGAAAUGGUCCGGGUAAUCACCUAAAAGCUUGUCAUAAUUGGAAUGGAUUAUUGUAACUAGUAAUCCUGAACGAGGAAUUCCUAGUAAGUCCCAGUCAACAGCUGGUACUGAUUACGUCCCUGCCCUUUGUACACACCGCCCGUCGCUACUACUGAUUGGACGUUUAAGCAAGAUUUUUAAACACUGACAGUGUGUAGUUCACGCUAUACUACAGUGAGAAGAAGAAGAUCGAGCUUACUUGUCUAGAGGAAGUAAAAGUCGUAACA